GGACAUCAUGGUGAGAGCCACAAAUUCUACAAGGGUCCAAAGAGUGAGAUGGGACCUGAUAAGGUCACUUUAGAGAGAUUUCUGCAAAAGAGCAACCCUGAUUAUAUGAUAAAACUCAGCAAAGAAGUAAGGAGUUUGAAUUGGAUAACUGAAUCUCCAGCGCUGAGGGGUAAGAAGACAUAAUGAAACCUGGGAUGUCUAAUAGUAUUGUGAAAAGAAGAUGAAGAAUUCUUACUAUAUUCUAACUUCAUGCAGAUGAAAACAACUACAUGGCAAUGUUCUGCGAGAUGGAGAGAGUAGAAAAAUCAAGACAAUCUUAGGAAAUGGAUCUUAUAUUUACAAUCAAGCUAGAAGAGAACUUCAGAAGACGGGCAUGCCUGCUAGAAAGAAUUAAAAGUAGACUGACCUCCGGAGUUAAACUUAUUUUUUGCUUCCUACAUUGCAUCUGCGUUGUGACUACCUGUUUCCUCACCAUAGAAAUCUAGUGGUGUUUCGGUCUCCUUUGUGCACUGUAACAAAAACGGUGCAGCCUUGCCUUUUGAACAGCGUACAAAUGAUGCUGACGAACCUCCUUGCGUAUUCAUACUUUUGGUUUAGGGCUGUUUGUACUUAAGCACCUGCAGUUCUGCGACGUGGUUCCCCAAAUCUUGAUGAACCUCAAGUGAUUCAUCUAGUUCAUAGUGAAUUGGGUGAUAUACUCUUUUUGGUACCCAAACUUUUUAAUGUUAUGAAAUUAUA